AAUAAGAGAAGAAAAAAUGAGCGAAUGCAAUAUAAUUGGUGCAAAACAUGCAUCAUUACUUCAUUGAUAUUACCAUUAAAGACAACAAAAUUUAAAAACAAGUAGCAUUCAACAACAAGGAAAUUAUAAAUGCAAAAUGAAGGCAAAUCAGUCCAAUGGUUGCCAGUGUUAAGGAUGUCUUCCUGUCAGAACUACUGGCAUUAGGAGAUGCUCUAUUAAAGUCUUCGAACUCAUCCUGACGAGAGGUUAAUGUGCACCAACAAGCUUCCUUCUGAAAAGGAUAUGUCCUUUUUGUCAAGAAACUGUUGAAUCUUAGCUUUUAAAGCGUUG
rnacentral:lncRNA from 1 species